rnacentral:rRNA from 1 species
AAAUGAAUAGACGGGGGCCCGCACAAGCGGAGGAACAUGUGGUUUAAUUCGAUGAUACGCGAGGAACCUUACCCGGGCUCAAACGACAGGGGAAUAUCUCCGAAAGGGGAUAGCCUUCAUGGCCGCUGUCGAGGUGCUGCAUGGUUGUCGUCAGCUCGUGCCGUGAGGUGUCGGCUUAAGUGCCAUAACGAGCGCAACCCCUAUUGACAGUUGCUAACAGGUUAAGCUGAGGACUCUGUCGAGACUGCCGGCGCAAGCUGUGAGGAAGGCGGGGAUGACGUCAAAUCAGCACGGCCCUUACGUCCGGGGCGACACACGUGUUACAAUGGCAGGUACAGCGGGAAGCCAUAUGGCGACAUAGAGCGGAACCCGAAAACCUGUCUCAGUUCGGAUUGGAGUCUGCAACCCGACUCCAUGAAGCUGGAUUCGCUAGUAAUCGCGCAUCAGCCACGGCGCGGUGAAUACGUUCCCGGGCCUUGUACACACCGCCCGU